AAACUCAAAUGAAUUGACGGGGACCCGCACAAGCAGCGGAGCGUGUGGUUUAAUUCGUUGCUACACGAAGAACCUUACCUGGGUUUGACAUAUAGGUUGUAGGGAACUGAAAAGGGACCGACCCUUCGGGGAACCUAUUACAGGUGUUGCAUGGCUGUCGUCAGCUCGUGUCGUGAGAUGUUCGGUUAAGUCCGCUAACGAGCGCAACCCUCGUCGUAUGUUAUAUGUGUCAUACGAGACUGCCGGUAAAAAGCCGGAGGAAGGUGAGGAUGAUGUCAAGUCAGCAUGACCUUUAUAUCCAGGGCUACACACACGCUACAAUGGUCUGUACAAUGGGUAGCCAAGCCGCGAGGCGGAGCCAAUCCUGAAAGCAGGCCUCAGUUCAGAUUGCAGUCUGCAACUCGACUGCGUGAAGUCGGAAUCGCUAGUAAUCGCGGAUCAGCACGCCGCGGUGAAUACGUUCCCGGGCCUU
rnacentral:rRNA from 1 species